CAAGUCGUGCGGUAACAGAAGGAGCUUGCUCCUUGCUGACGAGCGGCGGACGGCUGAGUAACGCGUAGGAAUCUACCCCAAACUGAGGGAUAAGCACCAGAAAUGGUGUCUAAUACCGCAUGUGGUCUUCGGAUUAAAGCUUCGGCGGUUUGGGAAGAGCCUGCGUAUGAUUAGCAAGUUGGUGAGGUAAUGGCUCACCAAGGCUACGAUCAUUAGCUGGUCUGAGAGGAUGAUCAGCCAGACUGGGACUGAGAACGGCCCAGACUCCUACGGGAGGCAGCAGUAGGGAAUUUUCCACAAUGGGCGAAAGCCUGAUGGAGCAACGCCGCGUGCAGGAUGAAGGCCUUCGGGUCGUAAACUGCUUUUAUAUGUGACGAAUAUGACGGUAGCAUAUGAAUAAGGAUCGGCUAACUCCGUGCCAGCAGCCGCGGUCAUACGGAGGAUCCAAGCGUUAUCCGGAAUUACUGGGCGUAAAGAGUUGCGUAGGUGGCAUAGUAAGCAGAUAGUGAAAGCGUGUGGCUCAACCAUACACACAUUAUUUGAACUGCUAAGCUAGAGGACGAGAGAGGUACCUGGAAUUCCCAGUGUAGGAGUGAAAUCCGUAGAUAUUGGGAGGAACACCGAUGGCGUAAGCAGGGUACUGGCUCGUUCCUGACACUCAGCCACGAAAGCGUGGGGAGCAAACGGGAUUAGAUACCCCGGUAGUCCACGCCGUAAACGAUGGAUGCUAGUUGUUAGAGGUAUCGACCCCUCUAGUAACGAAGCUAACGCGUUAAGCAUCCCGCCUGUGGAGUACGGUCGCAAGACUAAAACAUAAAGGAAUUGACGGGGACCCGCACAAGCGGUGGAGCGUGUUGUUUAAUUCGACGGUAACGAAGAACCUCACCCAGGCUUGACAUCCUUGGAAGUUCUC
rnacentral:rRNA from 1 species